UUGCUUAUAAAAUUGGUGAAAAUUCAGGUGCAAUCGACUCCACGUGAAGUUAAUAGCCAAGAGCCGUUAGAUAAAAAUUUAGUCAAAUUAGUCAAAUCAUCUAACAG